rnacentral:rRNA from 1 species
UUUCGAUAAGAAUUCAUCAAAGCAGCGGCCGCCUUAUUGUGGAAAUCUAUUUAGUUUGUUAGUUAACUCUAAUAAAUUAAAUACCACUCUGUCACUGAGAGCAAAUUGGAGUGCUCAAAGCAGGCUUGAUAGCUUUGAACAUUUUAGCUUGGAAUGACAAGAUAUGACUUUUGUUUUAUUUUGUUGGUUAUGAAAUGAAAGUAAUGAUUAACAGGAACAGCGCGGAGGUAUCCGUAUUGAAAGGUCAGAGGUGAAAUUCUUGGAUUCCUUCAAGACGAACAACUGCGAAAGCAUUUACCAAGGAUGUUUUCAUUAAUCAAGAACGAAAGCUCGGGGAUCGAAGAUGAUUAGAUACCAUCGUAGUCCGACGCCAUAAACGAUGCCGACUCGGGAUUGUGACUGAUGUUCGUAAAUUUAAAAAAGAACCGUUGCAGCACCGUAUGAGAAAUCAAAGUCUUUGGGUUCCGGGGGGAGUAUGGUCGCAAGGCUGAAACUUAAAGGAAUUGACGGAAGGACACACCAGAGGUGGAGCCUGCGGUUUAAUUUGACUCAACACGGGGAAACUUACCAGGUCCAGACAUGAUGAGGAUUGACAGUUUGAAAGCACUUUCUUGAUUUCAUGGGUGGUGGUGCAUGGCCGUUCUUAGUUGGUGGAGUGAUUUGUCUGGUUGAUUCCGAUAACGAACGAGACGGGGGGAGUUUACUAGCAUGCCAUGUAACUCGCGUUACAUGUGGGCUUCUUUACUCGACAACUUG